GCAGAACGCGAAGAACCUUACCCACCUUUGACAUGGCAGGAACUUACCAGAGAUGGCUUGGUGCUCGAAAGAGAACCUGCACACAGGUGCUGCAUGGCUGUCGUCAGCUCGUGUCGUGAGAUGUUGGGUUAAGUCCCGCAACGAGCGCAACCCUUGCCAUUAGUUGCUACGUUCAGUUGAGCACUCUAAUGGGACUGCCGGUGGCAAACCGGAGGAAGGUGGGAUGACGUCAAGUCCUCAUGGCCCUUAUAGGUGGGGCUACACACGUCAUACAAUGGCUGGUACAAAGGGUUGUCAACCCGCGAGGGGAGCUAAUCCCAUAAAGCCAGUCGUAGUCCGGAUCGCAGUCUGCAACUCGACUGCGUGAAGUCGGAAUCGCUAGUAAUCGUGGAUCAGAAUGUCACGGUGAAUACGUUCCCGGGUCUUGUACACACCG
rnacentral:rRNA from 1 species